GUACUCGCUUCAGCAGCACAUAUAUUAAAAUUGGAAUGACACAGGGAAGAUUAGCAUGGCCCCUGCACAAGGAUGACACAAAAGUUAGUGAAGCAUUCCAUAUUUGG